GAAAUCAGCUUCAUGAGUUGCGUGUCCAGCUAACCUUUGGGUUGCAACGUUUCUCCGGCUCCGACGAGGACAUUCGAUUUUACACCAGAUUCCCAGGCUAUGACCACUUAAUGGCAUUUUGGUGGCUGAUUGAGCCAUCCAUCCACAAAAUGGUUCGGGUCUCAAGAGCAAAGGCUGCAGCUAAGAAGAAUGAAGAUGUGUCUCAUUCACGAAUGUCAGGGAGGCAGGUGCUGCAGCCAGUUGAUGAAUUUUUCCUUUUCCUUGU